UGGGGAAUAUUGCGCAAUGGGCGAAAGCCUGACGCCGCGACGCCGCGUGAGGGAUGAAGGUUUUCUUAUCGUAAACCUCUGUCAGAAGGGAAGAAACCGCACUGUGCUAAUCAGCAGUGCCUUGACGGUACCUUCAAAGGAAGCACCGGCUAACUCCGUGCCAGCAGCCGCGGUAAUACGGAGGGUGCAAGCGUUAAUCGGAAUUACUGGGCGUAAAGCGCACGUAGGCUGCUUUGUAAGUCAGGGGUGAAAUCCCACGGCUCAACCGUGGAACUGCCUUUGAUACUGCUUAGCUUGAAUCCGGGAGAGGGUGGCGGAAUUCCAGGUGUAGGAGUGAAAUCCGUAGAUAUCUGGAGGAACAUCAGUGGCGAAGGCGGCCACCUGGACCGGUAUUGACGCUGAGGUGCGAAAGCGUGGGGAGCAAACAGG
rnacentral:rRNA from 1 species